rnacentral:rRNA from 1 species
GAUGAACGCUGGCGGCGUGCCUAAUACAUGCAAGUCGAGCGAACAGACGAGGUGCUUGCUCCUCUGACGUUAGCGGCGGACGGGUGAGUAACACGUGGAUAACCUACCUAUAAGACUGGGAUAACUUCGUGAAACCGGAGCUAAUACCGGAUAAUAUAUUGAACCGCAUGGUUCAAUAGUGAAAGACGGUUUUGCUGUCACUUAUAGAUGGAUCCGCGCCGCAUUAGCUAGUUGGUAAGGUAACGGCUUACCAAGGCAACGAUGCGUAGCCGACCUGAGAGGGUGAUCGGCCACACUGGAACUGAGACACGGUCCAGACUCCUAAGGGAGGCAGCAGUAGGGAAUCUUCCGCAAUGGGCGAAAGCCUGACGGAGCAACGCCGCGUGAGUGAUGAAGGUCUUCGGAUCGUAAAACUCUGUUAUUAGGGAAGAACAAAUGUGUAAGUAACUAUGCACGUCUUGACGGUACCUAAUCAGAAAGCCACGGCUAACUACGUG